CAACAAGCUUGCUUGUUGGGGUUGUAGGACACUCUAUACGGAGUUACAAAGGACGACAUUAGACGAAUCAUCUGGAAAGAUGAAUCAAAGAAGGUAAUAAUCCUGUAGUCGAAAAUGUUGUCUCUCUUGAGUGGAUCCUGAGUACGACGGAGCACGUGAAAUUCCGUCGGAAUCUGGGAGGACCAUCUCCUAAGGCUAAAUACUCUCUAGUGACCGAUAGUGAACCAGUACCGUGAGGGAAAGGUGAAAAGCACCCCGGAAGGGGAGUGAAAUAGAACCUGAAACCGUGUGCUUACAAGUAGUCAGAGCCCGUUAAUGGGUGAUGGCGUGCCUUUUGUAGAAUGAACCGGCGAGUUACGAUUUGAUGCAAGGUUAAGCAGUAAAUGUGGAGCCGUAGCGAAAGCGAGUCUGAAUAGGGCGUUUAGUAUUUGGUCGUAGACCCGAAACCAGGUGAUCUACCCUUGGUCAGGUUGAAGUUCAGGUAACACUGAAUGGAGGACCGAACCGACUUACGUUGAAAAGUGAGCGGAUGAACUGAGGGUAGCGGAGAAAUUCCAAUCGAACCUGGAGAUAGCUGGUUCUCUCCGAAAUAGCUUUAGGGCUAGCCUCAAGUGAUGAUUAUUGGAGGUAGAGCACUGUUUGGACGAGGGGCCCCUCUCGGGUUACCGAAUUCAGACAAACUCCGAAUGCCAAUUAAUUUAACUUGGGAGUCAGAACAUGGGUGAUAAGGUCCGUGUUCGAAAGGGAAACAGCCCAGACCACCAGCUAAGGUCCCAAAAUAUAUGUUAAGUGGAAAAGGAUGUGGCGUUGCCCAGACAACUAGGAUGUUGGCUUAGAAGCAGCCAUCAUUUAAAGAGUGCGUAAUAGCUCACUAGUCGAGUGACACUGCGCCGAAAAUGUACCGGGGCUAAACAUAUUACCGAAGCUGUGGAUUGUCCUUUGGACAAUGGUAGGAGAGCGUUCUAAGGGCGUUGAAGCAUGAUCGUAAGGACAUGUGGAGCGCUUAGAAGUGAGAAUGCCGGUGUGAGUAGCGAAAGACGGGUGAGAAUCCCGUCCACCGAUUGACUAAGGUUUCCAGAGGAAGGCUCGUCCGCUCUGGGUUAGUCGGGUCCUAAGCUGAGGCCGACAGGCGUAGGCGAUGGAUAACAGGUUGAUAUUCCUGUACCACCUAUAAUCGUUUUAAUCGAUGGGGGGACGCAGUAGGAUAGGCGAAGCGUGCGAUUGGAUUGCACGUCUAAGCAGUAAGGCUGAGUAUUAGGCAAAUCCGGUACUCGUUAAGGCUGAGCUGUGAUGGGGAGAAGACAUUGUGUCUUCGAGUCGUUGAUUUCACACUGCCGAGAAAAGCCUCUAGAUAGAAAAUAGGUGCCCGUACCGCAAACCGACACAGGUAGUCAAGAUGAGAAUUCUAAGGUGAGCGAGCGAACUCUCGUUAAGGAACUCGGCAAAAUGACCCCGUAACUUCGGGAGAAGGGGUGCUCUUUAGGGUUAACGCCCAGAAGAGCCGCAGUGAAUAGGCCCAAGCGACUGUUUAUCAAAAACACAGGUCUCUGCUAAACCGUAAGGUGAUGUAUAGGGGCUGACGCCUGCCCGGUGCUGGAAGGUUAAGAGGAGUGGUUAGCUUCUGCGAAGCUACGAAUCGAAGCCCCAGUAAACGGCGGCCGUAACUAUAACGGUCCUAAGGUAGCGAAAUUCCUUGUCGGGUAAGUUCCGACCCGCACGAAAGGCGUAACGAUUUGGGCACUGUCUCAACGAGAGACUCGGUGAAAUCAUAGUACCUGUGAAGAUGCAGGUUACCCGCGACAGGACGGAAAGACCCCGUGGAGCUUUACUGUAGCCUGAUAUUGAAAUUCGGCACAGCUUGUACAGGAUAGGUAGGAGCCUUUGAAACGUGAGCGCUAGCUUACGUGGAGGCGCUGGUGGG
rnacentral:rRNA from 1 species